UGUAAUUGUAUAUAACGGAUUGAUUCAC
rnacentral:sRNA from 1 species